ensembl:lncRNA
GUAUCAGUCAGCUUCUCCACUGGACAUCAUACCUAAGUCAGCUACCACAGUCACCUUCUGAUCUAUGGAUCUGGUUUUCUCCUGAUGAUGGUGGCUGAAAGUUAUGUAGCGCUUGUUGGUUAAAUUAUGUUGUAGCAGCUGCCUCGAAGACUUCUCCUAAAUGAGAUACUGGCUUUGAGUGACCCUUCAUUAACAGCAUGCAUGGAGGGAGAACCUGUAGGUAGCUCGUCUCUGCCUUCAGACAUGAUUAUUCAUCGUGCGGCGACACGGAGAGUUCUGUGGCAGGAGUCAGACGUUACCUCUGCAGGAAUGGGAACUGCUCGUGGGAGCUGACGUCAGCACUCAGUGCAGUGAGGUGUACUCAAGUGAAGUUUCUUCUUAUCGGAGUGAAAACCAGAGCCAAAAGACUGUCAGGUAUGAGGCACGAUGGUCACGAAGAUGGCCACAUGGAUUCCAUGUGGUGGAAUAGCAUGGUAAAGACUUAUGAAAGAAUUAAUAGUGCGUCUUCCUUGUAGGAGGAAAAAAAAAAACAAAGCACUCACAUACAUGACAAUAGACAAGAUCUGUGCCUGGAAAUAUCUUCCCGUAGAGCUCCGUCUUAAUUCUUUCUGAAGAGUAAUAGUUUUAAAUUGAUCCAGGAGAACUUCGCUAAUGAUAUAAUCAAACUUGCAUCUGUACUCUGUGCUUUGUGGCUGAACUAAUUUAAAUGCUAAAUGGGAAUCAAAGAAGUGGCCAUUAUGCAUACGAAGGAAUGAGUAGUUUUAAUCUUAUUUGCGUUGUGGUCUUUCGGAGCUAUUGAUUAAAGCAACCAACAAUCUAUAUUCGAUUCAGAGCAAAAUGCCACAUCUUAUGACACAUAUCACAAGUCAGAUUCUUGCUGUAAUUUCUAACCUCAAUUUUAAACACUGUCAGCAUCAUCUAGAAUUAGAAAAAAGAGCCACUCAUCACCAUACCAAAAAAUGCCGCAUGAUUUAAAUACCUAUAGCUACAUCAUUUACCCAGUUUUAUCCUUUCAUUUUGCUAAGCAUGAGGUUGAUGAUUAAAUUGGUGCAUAAUUAUUAGCAACACAGAGGCUGUUGUCACAUUGCACGGUUUUCUGACCAGGUGCAGGCUGCUUAGAUUCAGUCGGAGCCUGUCUGUCAGUUUUCUGAACAAUCCAGCAAAAUAAGUGACUGAUUUCCUGUUAUCAUCACAGAAGCAGUUUUCAGCAGAUUGUCACAGUAAACCUCCUUUUCUGAAUAGUGUAAUGAACGUUAUGGUGUUUGCAAAAGCAUUUUUUUAUAUAUACACAUGUAUAAAGUUUGAAUGUGAAAGCAUUAACAGUCUGAUCCUGGUAUCUGUCUCUCCAGCUCCUUAUCUGCAUCCUUUCAUUAAUAUCCAUCCAUUUCACUCAAAUGUCAAAGUCAAUCAAGCACUCCGUGGUCAUGCAAACAGAACAGAAGCACGGCCUGCUAAAUUAACCCAAUGUGAUGAGGACUUUAAAAGAUUUAAUUUCUUUGCUCUGCUCCUCCAGCACACUUUCAAGUUUAGAUGGCUGGUUCAUAAAGCAUGCACCCACAUCUUCAGUUUAUGCAGGGACAAUGCAGGCUGUACACUGAAAGAGCAACCUUUUGCAUCAGCUGGAUCAGACUAAAUAGUUGUAUAGGGUAAGUAUCCAAUCUAAAAAUAAAGAUAGUUCAGCAGGAAGAGAAACAUUUUGUCAGGGUGCUUUUAAAGUAUUAUUCUGUGAGAUAAAAAUAAGCUGGAGAAAGCAACCCAUAAACCGUGUUUUAUUCUUUCGCUAUAUUGCACUGUAAAUUUGUUAGUGGAAUCGACAUUUCUACCUCUCCUUGAAAAUAUUCAUCUGCUGUACCAGCAUUGGAGCUGGAGUGAUGCGGAAGCUUUCAAGUGCGUCCUAUUUCCCUGUGAAAUAGCAACAACUAACCAGAAACUCAUGCACAACAAUUACACCCUAACAAGCCUGUUUAUUCUCCGUCGACGAAGAAUAUCGUCAUUUGUUCAAAAUAUUGUUAUUCUCUGUUAUUCACAAUUUUGCAAAAACAACAGUAAAUUACCCUGAGUGUUUUAGAAAUAGGUUAUAAAAGCAGCCUGAUUUCACUUAAUGCAUACAUACAACAGUAUCAUGGAGCGGGCUGCUUUCUCCAUCAUUGGAGGGAAGCACAGCGCUGGCAGAGAUGACUAAGACCCUACACAAAAGAAAAGUCCUACAAGUGUUGGGGGAAAACAUGUUUGUACUGAAAAAGAUGGACUGAGAAGUAAAGGCAAAUUGAAAACAGAGGAGGAAAAAGCUAAAAAUUAUAUAUUUAGGAAAUGGAUCAAUCAUUUAUUACCAGUGACAGAUUCUAACAGAGAUCAUUUAAAAAUCCAGAUUGAUGGUUCAUCCUUCAUUUUUACUCGUAUAACAGUGUCAUAUUGCUAGUUUUGUGUUAUUCUGUUGGCAGAACAAUCUUUUAACAAUCUGUACCAUUGGAAGUGAAUAUUCAAAUUUAAAUGAGGUUUCCUUCCCUGAUAAGAACAGGAAAUCUUUCCAGGAAGAGUGGAUUUGCAACGCCAGAGCCACUUGUGAGUCCCCGGUGGCUUUGCAAGUCACAGGAAUAGAACUUGCACCUGGACCUGGAACUUGGGAACAGGUUGUGUGUAGGAAUCACCAUUUAAAAAGAAAUGACUUUAACACCUUGCUAAGGCAAAUACAUGUUAACAGCAACUUUUACUUCAAACCAUUGGCCCCAAAAAGAUGAAAGGGUAUGCUAGCUUGGGAGCAGGGAGAGUUUUAUACUUUCUGAUGUUCAUCUAAAUACUCAUGUUCAUAUUUUUUUCAUGUAAUAUCCUUGCGACAUCCCUCUGAAGUGGAGAAGAGUCAUGACUGUCAUUUUACCAAUGGCAGUGUGAGAACAGAGAAGCUCAACUCCUUUGAUUUGGCUCAAACAUCUUGCUGAUGUGCACAGAGAAGGUUUGUAGUGAAACAUAAACCCCAGGCUACUGCCCAGUUAACGGCCAUCCUGUCUCUGGGAAACUGUUGAAUCUGGCCUCGGGCCAUAAUUCAUUCUUAUGAGGGCCAUCAUUAACACAGUGGCUUCUCCUGGCCUACAAUGAGAAUAUAGGCUGUGAAGAAACUUAAACGUGUAAAAAUCCCUGGCAGAUAUUGCCCUGGUCAUAGGUGGCUAAUCAUCAACAUACCUCAACAAAGAGGCUGAAAGAGAGAGAAGUAUCAUUUUAUUGGCAUAAUGAUGCAAGUGGUCCAGUUCUCUUAAAUUCUUCCUGAAGUUCAGAGGUGGCAACCUCAAGUCUAAUUUUAGCUGAAGUCAACUUAUUUUCUCUUGGUCAGAUGAAAGUUCUGUGAAAUUCAGGGCAGUGGCUGCACCUUAAAAGCGCACUUCUUUUACUUUCUCUGGACAAGGAUUGGAGAGACCCGCCUUUGGUAAGUCCAGAUGCUUAAACUCUACCUCCACAGAAGAUUUCUCAGUCCAAGUGAGAAGCUCAUGGUAUCAUCAUGCUCUUCCCUCCUGUUGACACUGGGCAGCUAGGCAGAAGGUGAAGACUUCUGGCUGAGUACACAUGGGAACUUGACUCUGCCCUAGCAGGUAGUAGAGCACAAGCUGGGAUGGGUAAUUCUGGUCCUUUUCUACUUUGCGCAGUGAUGAAGUAAUGUAGCCUAACUAGGUCACGCAAUGAGGCUGUGGGAAACAUGGCCAAAGAGGAUCUUCUAUUCCUUGACAGAUACUCUACCAGGAAACUACUGUUACUGCUCAGUACGAAGAGCAGAAGUUCUCCACUAGUGUCUUUCUACAGAAGACUCAGCUUGGAUGUCAAGAGAAAGCAGGUAUUGAAUUUCAGCAUUUUUUCUUUAUAAGGUCGGUAGAGAGGAAUGAUCCUUUAGCUUAGAUGUCCCUGACCACUUGCAGACACGGGUCUACCUUUUUCCACAGACCAUGUAAGAAACCUGUGUUAACUGUAUGGACCAAGGCUCCUGGAGUGCAGACUCCACUGAGUUGAACAUGAGUGGCUGAUUUAGGUGUCAAUCUACGUUAAAAUGGCUGUAAAUAUUUUAAACCAGAAGUUGAAAAAAUAUAGUAGAUACUUGAGGAACAAGUGACUGACUUUUAACACAAUUACUCUUACUUUUAUUCAAAAGUUAGCAUUAUAAGCAGAAGGCUUCUGUCAUUUCUUGGUCACAGAUUGCCUUCUUCUCAUUGCCUUCCUCCUCCUCGUUUCUUCUCUUUGCACUAAAGAGAGGAAAGCAGGGUAGGUGAGAAGAAAGAGGGAAAGAAGAAGUGUUCAACUGACUAUUGUAAAGGAUGUAUUCAUUUUCUCAGCUCAUCUGCUCUUGGAAAGAGAUCAAACACAAGACAAUCCACUUAUUGACUUGUGCCAAAAUACCUGGAUACUUGUACCUGAAAAUGGAGGGUCUGACGUCACGUACUUUUGCAGGCAGACAUGCUUGCUCCAUGCUAGAAACCAUUCCUGACCUACCUCUCUUGACACCAAGUUUUAAGAAGAUUAUAAUGGAGAGCAAUACUUUCUUUAAAAUAUUUCAAAUAGCCAAGGCUAUUUUUGCCCUUUCUAGCGCAUGCUGUGGGUUGAUUCUCACACAGGUUUUAUUAAACAUGUUUUCUUCUUUCUGUAAG